rnacentral:rRNA from 1 species
AUUGAACGCUGGCGGCAGGCCUAACACAUGCAAGUCGAACGAGUGGCGGACGGGUGAGUAAUGUCUGGGAAACUGCCUGAUGGAGGGGGAUAACUACUGGAAACGGUAGCUAAUACCGCAUACCAUCGGAUGUUCCCCGAUGGGAUUAGCUAGUAGGUGGGGUAACGGCUCACCUAGGCGACGAUCCCUAGCUGGUCUGAGAGGAUGACAAGGCACACUGGAACUUAGACACGGUCAAGACGCCUACGGGAGGCAGCAGGGGGGAAUAUUGCAAAAUGGGCGCAAGCCUGAAGGAGCCAUGCCGCGUGUAUGAAGAAGGCCUUCGGGUUGUAAAGUACUUUCAGCGGGGAGGCGUUACCCGAAGAAGAAGCACCGGCUAACUCCGUGCCAGCAGCCGCGGUAAUUC